rnacentral:rRNA from 1 species
CCUACGUGCGGCAGCAGUAGGGAAUAUUGCUCAAUGGGGGAAACCCUGAAGCAGCAACGCCGCGUGGAGGAUGAAGGUUUUCGGAUUGUAAACUCCUUUUGUUAGAGAAGAUAAUGACGGUAUCUAACGAAUAAGCACCGGCUAACUACGUGCCAGCAGCCGCGGUAAUACGUAGGGUGCAAGCGUUACUCGGAUUCACUGGGCGUAAAGGGCGCGCAGGCGGGAGAGCAAGUCAGAUGUGAAAUCCUAUGGCUUAACCAUAGAACUGCAUUUGAAACUGUUAUUCUAGAGUAUGGGAGAGGUAGGUGGAAUUCUUGGUUUAGGGGUGAAAUGCGUAGAGAUCAAGAGGAAUACUCAUUGCGAAGGCGACCUGCUAGAACAUAACUGACGCUGAUGCGCGAAAGCGUGGGGAGCAAACAGGAUUAGAUACCCGUGUAGUC